ACCUGCACAGGUGCUGCAUGGCUGUCGUCAGCUCGUGUCGUGAGAUGUUGGGUUAAGUCCCGCAACGAGCGCAACCCUUAUCCCCAGUUGCCAUCAGGUAAAGCUGGGAACUCUGGGGAGACUGCCGGUGAUAAACCGGAGGAAGGCGGGGAUGACGUCAAGUCCUCAUGGCCCUUACAUCCCGGGCUACACACGUGCUACAAUGGCUGGUACAAAGGGUUGCCAACCCGCGAGGGGGAGCCAAUCCCAUAAAGCCAGUCGUAGUCCGGAUCGUAGUCUGCAACUCGACUACGUGAAGUCGGAAUCGCUAGUAAUCGUGGAUCAGAAUGUCACGGUGAAUACGUUCCCGGGUCUU
rnacentral:rRNA from 1 species